AACGAACGCUGGCGGCGCGUCUUAAGCAUGCAAGUCGAGCGGCAAGGUAGCAAUACCCGAGAGCGGCGGACUGGUGAGUAACGCGUGGGUGACCUGCCUUUGUGUUGGGGAGAUCCAUUAGAAAUAGUGGGUAAUACCAAAUACGGUUACGGGUCGAUGGUUCUGUAAAGAAAGGAGCUACGGCGCCGCACGAAGAUGGGCCCGCGUCCCAUUAGCUAGUGGGGGGUGUAACGGACCAACAAGGCGAUGAGGGGUAGCCGGAGUGAGAGGUUGGACGGCCACAUUGGGACUGAGAUACGGCCCACACUCCGACGGGCGGCAGCAGCUAAGAAUAUUCCGCAAUGGACGAAAGUCUGACGGAGCGACGCCGCGUGUAUGAUGAAGGCCGGAAGGUUGUAAAGUACUUUUGUCAACGAAGAAUAAGUGUGGGAGGGAAUGCCCGCAUGAUGACGUUAGUUGGCGAAUAAGCCCCGGCUAAUUACGUGCCAGCAGCCGCCGUAA
rnacentral:rRNA from 1 species